AGGGUUUGAUCAUGGCUCAGAUUGAACGCUGGCGGAAUGCUUUACACAUGCAAGUCGAACGGCAGCACGGACUUCGGUCUGGUGGCGAGUGGCGAACGGGUGAGUAAUGUAUCGGAACGUAUCCAGUAAUGGGGGAUAACUAAUCGAAAGGUUGGCUAAUACCGCAUACGCCCUACGGGGGAAAGCAGGGGAUCUUCGGACCUUGCGUUAAUGGAGCGGCCGAUAUCUGAUUAGCUAGUUGGUGAGGUAAGAGCUCACCAAGGCGACGAUCAGUAGCUGGUCUGAGAGGACGACCAGCCACACUGGAACUGAGACACGGUCCAGACUCCUACGGGAGGCAGCAGUGGGGAAUUUUGGAUAAUGGGCGCAAGCCUGAUCCAGCCAUUCCGCGUGAGUGAAGAAGGCCUUCGGGUUGUAAAGCUCUUUCGCAAGGGAAGAAACGAUGCAGACGAAUAAUCUGUGUUAAUGACGGUACCUUGAUAAGAAGCACCGGCUAACUACGUGCCAGCAGCCGCGGUAAUACGUAGGGUGCAAGCGUUAAUCGGAAUUACUGGGCGUAAAGCGUGCGCAGGCGGUUUUGUAAGUCAGAUGUGAAAUCCCCGAGCUCAACUUGGGAACUGCGUUUGAAACUAC
rnacentral:rRNA from 1 species